CUGUCUUCUGACCUGGUUCACCAGAUCCUUACAGACAAAGCAGCAGAGGUGAACACCGAUGUGGACAAACGAUGCCAUGCUUGUCUUCAGAGACCCAUGAGACCGAAUCCAAGAAGUAAGAGGCAGACGAAAGGGCGCUCACGACGUUCAAAU